ACUGGGACUGAGAACGGCCCAGACUCCUACGGGAGGCAGCAGUAGGGAAUUUUCCACAAUGGGCGAAAGCCUGAUGGAGCAACGCCGCGUGCAGGAUGAAGGCUUUCGAGUUGUAAACUGCUUUUAUAUGUGAAGAUUAUGACGGUAGCAUAUGAAUAAGGAUCGGCUAAUUCCGUGCCAGCAGCCGCGGUCAUACGGAAGAUCCAAGCGUUAUCCGGAAUUACUGGGCGUAAAGAGUUGCGUAGGUGGCAUAGUAAGUCUGUAGUGAAAGCGUGGGGCUCAACCCCAUAACCAUUAUGGAAACUGCUAAGCUAGAGGGCGAGAGAGGUUACUAGAAUUCCUAGUGUAGGAGUGAAAUCCGUAGAUAUUAGGAGGAAUACCGAUGGCGUAGGCAGGUAACUGGCUCGUCCCUGACACUAAGGCACGAAAGCGUGGGGAGCGACCGGGAUUAGAUACCCCGUUAGUCCACGCCGUAAACGAUGGAUGCUAGCUGUAGGACGUAUCGACCCGUUCUGUAGCGAAGCUAACGCGUUAAGCAUCCCGCCUGUGGAGUACGAGCGCAAGCUUAAAACAUAAAGGAAUUGACGGGGACCCGCACAAGCGGUGGAGCGUGUUCUUUAAUUCGAGGAUAAGCGAAGAACCUUACCCAGGCUUGACAUCCUUGGAAGGCUUCCGAAAGGAAACUGUGCCUUCGGGAACCAAGUGACAGGUGUUGCAUGGCCGUCGUCAGCUCGUGUCGUGAGAUGUUUGGUUAAGUCCAUCAACGAGCGCAACCCUUGUGAUUAGUUGGAUUUUUCUAAUCAGACUGCCCCGGUAACGGGGAGGAAGGAAGGGAUGAUGUCAGGUCAGUAUUACCCUUACGUCUGGGGCUAGAAACACGCUACAAUGGCCAGUACAAAGGGCAGCCAAGGCGCGAGCCGGAGCAAAUCCCAUCAAAGCUGGUCUCAGUUCGGAUAGCAGGCUGAAACUCGCCUGCUUGAAGCCGGAAUCGCUAGUAACGGUGAGUCAGCACAUCACCGUGAAUACGUUCCCGGGUCUUGUACACACCGCCCGUCAAACCAUGAAAGUCACCAAUACCUGACGUCUGUACUAGCUACGGCCUAAGGUAGGGGGGAUGAUUGGGGUU
rnacentral:rRNA from 1 species